GGGGAUGUCUUGGAUUCGACAGGGGUCAGUCUGAAUAAAGUUGCAGUCGUAGGAGUACGUUAAACUCACAAACAAAUAUCUGGAAACAGAACUAAUUACGCUUUCGCUUAAUAGUCGACAAACUGACUUGCGAAUGCAAGCUCACUAAGUCUUACAUUAGUGAUGUCUUGUAACAUAAACAAAGUAAGAUAAGGAUUAAAAGACGUCUCGAUUUUAAUCACGAAAAUAAAGAGAACCGGUAAGUGAAAGACUGCUUGUGGAUCGUAGCUUACUUAAAUUCAUUCGACAAGAUAAACUGUAGAAGCUUUAUAUGGGACGGCUUUUGGACAGGGGUUCGAUUCCCCUCAUCUCCACCA
rfam:Kandleria vitulina DSM 20405 Scaffold23, whole genome shotgun sequence.